UUCACCAGUAGCUCUCAGACCCGAUCAACUUGUCUUUAAGUUAGGAGGUGUUUAGCUCCUUAAAUUAUUUUAUACUCUUAAGGACCAUCAGAAAAGGACCCGUUUUGUGUCCUUAAGGAUCUCCCCCCAAGGACGCAGCCCCGGUCGGGGUUAUAAGGUUAAGCAAUGUCACAUCCUAACCUUCUUCUACUGCUAACUUUAGUUGGCAGUUUACUAUCAGUGGUAACAACUUUCCGACGCGAUAAUGUCGAAUACAGGCCACCAGCAGGGUUGCCAACCCACGAACAGCAGAUGACAAAAGCGGCGUUGCCAAAUCUACACCGUUACUCGAUAGCCCAGCGGUUGGGAGCUAGACCGAGAUUUGGCAGCACUGCACUGCCCUUGAGACAGGCGGUGGAAAGGGUGCCUUCACCUACUGAGAGGGCUGAAGAACACUUUCCCAUAAGAGACGCUGUGGAACAGAGACCAGUUUUGGCUGUUACCCCACUGGGACAAUGGUGGAACCAUCGUAUGGCGCCUCCUCAAACAACAAUUCAAGCAUCUAAACCGUUUUCUGAAGAAUACCAGAGAGUUUCGCCGCUAGCUGUGGACAAAUCGGUGUACUGUUUCGUGGAGUCGUGGUCGGUGUAUAGGAGGGCACCCAUGUCCUUCUCGGCCGACCACAUCGACCCACACCUGUGCACUCACCUGGUCUAUGCCUUCGCCAAGAUAGAUGCCAACACUCACAAGUUGACACCUGUCGAUGAGGAGUAUGACAUUGUCAAAGGUGGCUACCGUUCAGUAGUAUUCCUGAAACGUCUGAACCCCCGACUGAAGGUGCUUCUCUCAGUGGCGGGGCCAUUCAACGGUAUGACGUCAUCAGCCAAUCGACGCACCUUCAUAUCGUCUACAGUGCGCAUGCUCCACGAAUACAACUUUGACGGGUUGGAUCUACAUUGGCAGUUGCCUGAACUGGAGGGCACAACCCCGUCUGACCCCCCGACCAGGUCACCCGCCGACCCCUCCACCUUGACCCGGCUGCUAGAGGAGAUGUCACCUGUGUUCGAGUCACGAGCAUGGACUCUCACUCUCUCUCUCACAGGGUCUCGCUUCCAAGCCGAAGACAUCUAUCCCAACGAUAUGCAACAGGUGACAACCCACUUGACACAUUUGCUACUGAAAAGCUACGACCUGCACGGUGAGAGAGGGAAGGAAGGUCAAGAAGGAGGGGUAGCCGUGCAUCAUGCCCCCCUCCAGGCACCCCCGCCCACACAAGAUGCCCUCGCUCUGUUCUUCAAUGUCGACUAUGCAGUGCGGUAUUGGUUGAAGAGGGGUGUGCCAAGACAUAAGCUGAUCAUGGGAAUCCCACUCUAUGCCAGGACUUACACACUCAAGGAUGCUAACCAGUGGCAACCUGGUUCUUCGGUACUAUCAGGCGGCUCGGAAUCACGUUACACCCAACAACCAGGUAUCUUGGCCUAUUACGAAGUAUGUGAAAAGUUGGUGGAAGGUGAUGACGCCAUCCGAGACACUAGUGACGUCACCAAUGAUGACAUCACACGAGACAGCUAUGAUAUCACCAGUGAUGACGUCACUAAGGGUGAUGAUGACGUGACUAAGGAUAAAGAAGACGUCACACAGCCGUGGAGAUUGUUCAGAGACCAGGGCAAUGCCCCGUUUAUGGUGCGUGGUGACCAGUGGGUCGGGUAUGAGGACCCGCUCAGUGUACAGACUAAGAUGCGCUACAUCAACCAGCAAAAACUGGGUGGAGUCAUGGUAUGGGCUCUGGAUCUGGACGAUUUCCAAGGCAUGUACUGCGGACGCAAGUAUCCACUGCUCAAUGCCAUCAACGACCAUUUGCACGCAUUUGAUUGGCCGCUGGCCGUGCACCAGCCGUCAUUGGUCAGUGUGGGACAAGCUCCGCCCACUUUUGCUCAGGCUCCGCCCACCUAUGUGCAAGCUCCGCCUACUUUUGUGCAAGCGGUGUCAAUAUUGCCUCACAGUAACCCUUUACAGCAGUCAGGGGGCGUGGCUUCGAAUGCUGAGGGCCAAUCAGAGGUCUCCGUUUCGGCCAGCAGCCAAUCAGAAGUGAGUGCUGCUCCCUAUGUGCUGUCUACACCGCACGACGGCAGCUGCCGCUAUGGACAGCACGGAUUUGAGCGGACAAACACUGGUCAUGGUUAUAGAAAGCACAAGUUUGAGACGUCAAGACAGUACGAUUAUGAGCAGAGACAGGAAGUGGUUGAUUCUUAUAAACAGCACAAGUAUGAGCCGGUGAAUGGGUAUCAGGCUUAUAGACAGCACGAUAAUGAGGAAAGACAGGAAGUGGUUGAUUCAUAUGGAGAGCACGAUUCUGAGCAGACAAGACGGGGAAAUGUCUAUAGACAGCACGAUAAUGAGCUGGAAUAUUCGGAUUGCACUCAUAUUUUCUACAGAUGUGACCAUCUAAUGAUGCAUAGAUAUCUGUGUCCUAUUGGGAGUGCAUAUGAGCCAGCAUUGGGGAAAUGCAGUGUGAAAUGUUCAGAACAAAAGCUGGAAGAAAUCAACAACACCACCACUUUACAAAAAGCCGAAUUGAGGAAAAAGCCUAAUCAUAACGCCGUUGGUGACAAACAAGAACCGUCAGGCCCCAGAGUGGUGUGCUACUUCACAAAUUGGGCCUGGUACAGGAAGGGAGACGGCAAAUUCUUGCCGGAGCAUAUAGAGCCUUCGCUCUGCACUCACAUCAUAUACGCUUUCGCCUCUCUCGAUCCAAACGAUUUGACACUCAAACCGUUCGAUAGCUGGUCGGAUAUCGAUAAUAACCUGUUUGCGCGCGUAGUUGCCCGUGCCGCCGGCAGUGGCGCUAGUGUGCUGCUCUCGAUGGGCGGCUGGACGGACUCGGCUGGCAGCAAGUACUCGCAGCUGGUUGCAGACAAAGGUAACCGGCGCCGAUUCGUCGCAGACUGUGUGCAGACACUGCGCCGACACUCGUUCGACGGUCUGCAGCUGGACUGGAACUAUCCUGUGUGCUGGCAGAGCAACUGUAAGAAGGGGCCGGCCGCCGAUAAGGCUAACUUUGCCAAGUUUGUGCAGGAGCUGCGCCAAGCUUUCGACAAGGAAAAGCCUCGCCUGCAGUUGUCAAUCGCCAUAUCCGGUUACCGUGAGAUAGUGGACAGGGCCUACGACAUGCGCGCUCUCUCUCAACACGCCGACUUCGUCAAUGUGAUGAGCUUCGACUAUCAUGGCGCCUGGGAGCAUGAGACGGGCCAUGUCGCUCCACUCUAUCCCACUGCUGGCGAAAUGUUCCCUGAUUACAAUGUGGAUUCGACAGUGAAACACCUGAUUGAGCUGGGAGCCGAUAGGUCGAAACUGGUGGUUGGAAUCCCCUUCUACGGCCAGUCAUUCACUCUGGCCGCACCUGAUAAGGGAAAUGGGCUUGGAGAGGAGACUGUCGACCCGGGAGAGAGCGGGGAGUUCACUAAACAACCCGGCAUGUUGGCUUAUUACGAGAUAUGCUAUAAAAUUUCGAAACAGAACUGGAAAGCGGAGACAUCGGACGUGGGUCCCUAUGCAUAUUCGGGGGACCAGUGGGUCAGCUACGACGAUCCCACCUCUAUUAAACAGAAGGCGAAAUACAUAUUAACCGAGAAGCUAGGCGGUGCCAUGGCGUGGACUAUAGACCUGGAUGACUUUCACAACCGCUGCUGUAAGGGCCACACCUUUCCGCUGCUGAGGGCCCUGAAUUCAGGGCUGGGCCGCAUUAAGGGCCCCGUAACCUCUACACAGGACUGCACCAAACCUACUCUGCCCUCCACACCUCCGCCCGUCUUAACCACCCUUACACCUGACAAUGGCCUAGUAAGCCCAGAAGCUACCUCAGAAAUGAGCUCCAGUUCUACCACUACAACCACACAAUCUUGGUGGACUGAGGAACCAUCGACCAGUAGUACCACCACAACAAAACCAACAACCAGUGAUACCACCACUACAAAGCCAAUUACCUCUAAUCCAACAACCAGUAGUACCACCACCACCACCACAGAAGAAGAACCGGAAACCACAGAUGAAGAGGAACCGGAAGAGGAAACCACCACCAGUACUACCACCACAACCACCACUAGAAGGCCAACCACAAAGAGGCCCAAACCUACUAGACCGAAGCCUACUAAGCCUAGGCCUAGUAGCACUACUAGUAAGCCUUCUAGUAAGCCUACUAGGCCCAGUAAGCCGAAACCCCCACCUCUACCACCGCCCACACUGCACCCAGCGAGGAAGUUGGAGCAACAGAGCUGCCUUCGUCUUGUACGAGUGGCGAAUACGGGCUGUAUUCUGGGCGAAUUCAGGAGGCAGAGAUGUGCGGCAGUCUGCACUGGAACAGCAAACUGCAAGUGUGCGACUGGCCACAGCAGGCUAAAUGCCAAACUAAACCAGGUCAUAUAGAAAGCAGCACAUCCACGUCGACCACUGAACGACCCGACGAAUGGUGGACCCAAUCCUCGUCCACAUGGUGGUCACCUGAGUUGACUACACCACCGCACCAUACCACCACCACCAGCACCACCUCGACACCAUGGUGGACACCACCAGAGCACCACUUGGUGGCCUACUAGUAGCAGCACCACCACCACUCACAAGCCAAGUAGCUCUACUAAGAGACCUGCCACCAUAAGAGGCCCAAGCCUAGCAGACCUAGUAGCAAGCCUACUCAUAGACCUCUAGCCUAGCACCACUACAACGGAGGCCCCACCACCAAGUCCCCCCGAGGCAUGUACUGACGGCCAGUACUACCCAGUGAGGGAGGCUUGUGACCAAUACGAGGUGUGCGUCAACGGUCAGCUGUUGCGGCUAAGAUGUGCUCCCGGCCUGCUAUUUAAUCACGUGAUUGGAGUUUGCGACUGGGCUCAUAAUGUUCAGUGCCAUGCAUCACAAAGGAUGGAGCUGGAAUGGAGUCGCAAAUCAGCUGGUUGUUCCAAAGGCCAGUUCACAGCGCAUCCGUCCAAUUGCAACCAGUACUUGCAAUGCCAGUGGGGAGCCUAUCAGAUAUACAGCUGUCCCCCUGGGCUGCAUUGGAAUGCGAAAAACAACAUCUGCGACUGGCCCUCUCGCUCUACGUGCCGUGUGACGUCACCCUCCAAUCCACAGGGCGGCAGUAAACCCGACAAUAAACCACCCUCAGGUAGCAGUAAACCGGUUUCGCUGGCCACCACCAGCACAAACAGACCCGAAUGGGAAUGGAAACCGGACCCCACAAGCACCAGCAACCCCCAGUGGGAGUGGAAACCGGAAACCACCCCUAAACCCAAGCCAAUUCCCAACAAACCCAGCAAGCCCAGCGGCAAGCAUCCACUGGCUAACGGUCCGUUCAAGGUAGUGUGUUACUUCACGAAUUGGGCAUGGUAUAGGACAGGCCCCGCCAAAUAUCUGCCAGAGGAUAUAGACACCAACCUGUGCACCCAUGUGCUGUAUGGAUUUGCUGUACUGGACUUUGAAAAUCUCAUCAUAAAGGCACAUGACUCGUGGGCUGAUUUCGAUAAUAAGUUCUACGAGCGUGUGGUGGCCAUGAAAAAGAAGGGUGUCCAUGUUCUGUUGGCGAUUGGAGGCUGGAACGACUCCCAGGGGGACAAGUACUCGCGAUUAGUUAACAGUGCCGCCUCUAGACAGCGCUUCAUACAACAUGUCGUUCCAUUCCUCUUGAAAUACGACUUUGAUGGACUGGAUCUGGAUUGGGAGUACCCCAAGUGCUGGCAGGUGAACUGUGACAAAGGCCCCGCAUCGGACAAGGAGAGCUUCGGACUUUUUGUGAAAGAACUGAAAACUGCUUUCAGAUCUCACGACCUCCUACUGUCAGCCGCCGUGUCUCCCAGCAAGGCUGUUAUCGACGAGGGUUACGAUGUGAAAACAAUGGCGAAAUAUCUGGAUUGGAUAUCGGUGAUGACAUAUGACUACCACGGGCAAUGGGAUAAGAAGACCGGUCAUCUGGCUCCCAUGUAUUACCAUCCUGAGGAUGAUUUCGACUAUUUCAAUGCGUGUAUAAGCCAGUAUCUAUUGUAAUCUACAUAAAUCAACUACUGGCUGUCUGAGGGCGUGCCCAAGCACAAGCUGGUGAUGGGCAUGCCCCUGUACGGGCAGUCGUUCACACUGGCCAAACGAGAGCAGCAUGGGCUGAAUGCGCCCGCCCCGGGGCCAGGCCAGGCGGGCGAGUCGACCAGGGCUGCUGGGUUCCUAGCCUACUAUGAGAUUUGUUCCCGAAUCAAAAAUGGCGGCUGGACAGUGGUACAGGACGAGGAACAAAGGAUGGGUCCUUAUGCCUACAACGGCGACCAGUGGAUAUCCUUCGACGAUAAGGACACCAUCAGGCGAAAGUCGGAAUGGAUUAGAGAAAUGGGCAUCGGAGGAGGAAUGAUAUGGGCUCUGGACUUGGACGAUUUCAGGAACACAUGUGGAGGGGGGAAGCAUCCUUUGCUCACCAUUAUUGCUAAGACUCUGGCUAAACCAGGACAAGAGUGGAGGUGGUAUGGCAACCCCUACCCCAGCAAUUACCACCACACCCCUGAACCUUCAGAACAAACUACCCUGGAAAGCAGUGGAGCUGCAACUACACCCAUCCACCCGGCGACCCCGCCCGACGUCGCUGAACCGGAGAAGCCCACACAACCGACUAGCACAACUACUGAGGAAACAGAAGAGGUGGAGGGGACAACUGAGGACGAAUUGGAAGAGGAGACGACAACAACUUCGACAACAACAAGCACAACAACUAAGCGACCGAGACCGGCCAAACCGGGCAAACCCAGCAAACCUAAACCGAAACCCAAGCCUAAACCCACCAGUACAACCACACAGAAACCCAAACCCGAAAUGGAGGACCAUUUCAAGGUGGUCUGCUACUUCACUAAUUGGGCCUGGUAUAGGCAAGGAGAAGGCAAAUACCUACCAAGUGACAUAGACCCUGAGCUGUGUACACAUAUAAUCUAUGGAUUCGCAGUUUUGGAUUCGGAUCAUCUCACUAUCAAACCACACGAUACUUGGGCUGAUUUCGAUAAUAAAUUCUAUGAGAAAGUUAUAGCUGUGAAAAAGAAGAAGAGCAACAUAAAGGUGUUGAUAGCGAUUGGCGGCUGGAACGACUCGGCCGGAGACAAGUACUCACGUCUGGUUAACAGUGCUGCCGCUAGACAGCGCUUCGUACAGCAUGUCCUAGAAUUUAUACAGGAGCAUGGAUUUGAUGGACUGGAUUUGGACUGGGAGUACCCCAAGUGCUGGCAGGUGAAUUGUCAGCAAGGCCCAGAUUCGGACAAGGAGUCUUUCGCGGCGUUUGUGAAAGAAUUGCACAAAGCAUUCCAACCUCAUGGUCUGCUGCUAUCAGCUGCCGUGUCGCCCAGUCGAACUGUCAUUACUGCCGGUUACGACGUGAAAGCGCUCUCUAAAUACUUGGAUUGGAUCUCUGUGAUGGCGUACGACUACCACGGUCAGUGGGACAAGGUGACCGGGCAUGUGGCACCCAUGUACGCGCACCCUGAGGAUGAUGACGUCACUUUCAACACGAACUUUACGAUGCACUACUGGAUGCGGCAGGGCGCGGACAGACGCAAACUGAUAGUGGGCAUGCCGAUGUACGGACAGUCGUUCAGUCUGGCCUCCACCGAGGACAAUGGCCUCAAUGCACCCACCUAUGGCGGGGGGGAGGCCGGCGAGCAGACCAGGGCCAGGGGAUUCCUCGCUUACUAUGAGAUCUGCCAGCGCACCCUGAAGCAGGGCUGGGAGGUGGUUAGGGACGAGGAGGGCCGAAUUGGGCCCUAUGCCCGGCUGAGGGAUCAGUGGGUGUCGUUUGAUGACCAAGCCAUGAUAGCCUACAAGUCCAACUAUGUCAAGCGCAACGAUUUCGGGGGUGCCAUGAUAUGGGCUCUCGAUUUGGAUGAUUUCAGGAAUUUGUGUGGAUGUGAAGAGUACCCGCUGCUGAAAACCAUCAACAGGGUGCUCCGUAAUUACCUGGUGUUCAGCCCGAGUGCAGGCUUAGCCCGGCACAGGACGGAGAUAAUGCAGAGUCAGCUGUUACCGAGUUCCCCGAGAGAAAUAACGAGGUGGAGGGGGCAUCUGAAAUGUCAAACGAGGAGGACACACUCCCCGAGUGUGUGAACGGAGUGAUGGCGCAUCCUGGUGACUGCAACAAGUACUACUCGUGUUGGAACAACGGCCAGAGUCGGACACAGCUCAACUGUCCUCAGGGACUGCAUUUCGAUUCGGUGCGCAACAUAUGCGAAUGGCCCGAUAAGGCAGUGUGCUGGAAUUCGGCCAAAUCGAGACUGCAACACCAGGAGGACGAGCAAACCAGUCUGGCUUUCCAGGGGACGGGACCCGCUUCCUAUUUCGCUGGGAAAUUCCCUUGGAGCAGUUUACAACAAGGAAUACCAGUUUGGUUUGCCAGGAUUUAAAACUUUAAGAAACUGACUCUGGAUAUAAAUCAAUAACAGAUGGAAAAUGGAAUCUCAACCAUUACAAAAUGGAUAAUGGAAUUUAAAGCGUUAUACAAAGGAUAUAACGGAAAUCAAACCAUCAUGCUGGUUCUCAACUAAUGGAAUUCACAUAAAUAUAUCUUUAUGAUAAAAUCCAUUUUAUGGUUAAUAGAGAAUCUAAAAUGAAAAAAAUCUUUCUACUAUGAAUGCAUAUUAAUUCUAUUAUGACUUCAUGGAGUUUAACUGUUUUAGAUUAAUGUUAAUAACACUGUUGAUUAUCUAUGAAGAAAUGUUGACGAGUCGUCAAUAUUGUAAAAAAUUGAUAUCAAAAUGAAAAUAAAUAGAUGAGAGUUGUCAAAUAAAUAUGAAACAGUGAGAAAUCCUUAACGAGGAAAAAAUUAAGAAAAUUCUAAUUAUGAUGUAAGUAUUCAAUAUUUUUUAUACAAUCUUGUAAUUGCUCAAAUUGAAAUAGUUUUGUUGUAAUAGUAAUUAUUUAUGUGCCAUAUUUUAUUGAAAUGUAGUUGAGAAAAUAUGAAUUUUGCUACAAAA